AGAACAUGGAAGGUAUGUACUCUAAAACACAGUAUUUUUAAUUAGGAAUUUUAAAGACAUUUGAGGUGGGAGUCGUGGCUAAUAGAAACUUAAUUGUAUUUUUUUUAAUAAAAGAUGAAUCAAUAACCCAUUUUGUAUUUUAUGUUUUGCUUCUAAAGGUCAUUUCUUCAUUUGAUAUGAUAAUAUACUUUAGUUCUUUGUGCCUGCAAAUUUCAAGACACCUUCAUCUAAAAAUCUUCAAGACUUCCUGUCAACAAGCACCUGAACAGGUUCAAGUUCUUUCUUCAAAGACUCAUCAGAAUAACAUGGAUUGAAGAGACUUUCGAACAUUUGCCAUCUCUUGCUGCUGCUGUUUCAUGAAAGGAGAUAUGAAACAUGUUUAAUUUUUAGUUAAAUGUUAUAAAAUUUUCAGCAAAUAAAACAUUUCAGUGCCUCCAUUAA